AUUGAACGCUGGCGGCAGGCUUAACACAUGCGAGUCGAGCGGGGUGAUGGUGCUUGCACUAUCACUUAGCGGCGGACGGGUGAGUAAUGCUUAGGAAUCUGCCUAUUAGUGGGGGACAACAUCUCGAAAGGGAUGCUAAUACCGCAUACGUCCUACGGGAGAAAGCAGGGGAUCACUUGUGACCUUGCGCUAAUAGAUGAGCCUAAGUCGGAGUAGCUAGUUGGUGGGGUAAAGGCCUACCAAGGCGACGAUCUGUAGCGGGUCUGAGAGGAUGAUCCGCCACACUGGGACUGAGACACGGCCCAGACUCCUACGGGAGGCAGCAGUGGGGAAUAUUGGACAAUGGGGGGAACCCUGAUCCAGCCAUGCCGCGUGUGUGAAGAAGGCCUUAUGGUUGUAAAGCACUUUAAGCGAGGAGGAGGCUCUUUUGGUUAAUACCCAAGAUGAGUGGACGUUACUCGCAGAAUAGGCACCGGCUAACUCUGUGCCAGCCGCCGCGGUAA
rnacentral:rRNA from 1 species